UACGGGGGGAGCAAGCGUUGUUCGGAUUUACUGGGCGUAAAGGGCGCGUAGGCGGUCAGCACAAGUCAGUUGUGAAAUCUCCGGGCUUAACUCGGAAAGGUCAACUGAUACUGUGCGACUAGAGUGCAGAAGGGGCAACUGGAAUUCUCGGUGUAGCGGUGAAAUGCGUAGAUAUCGAGAGGAACACCAGUGGCGAAGGCGAGUCUCUGGACGACUCCUGACACUGAGGCACGAAAGCCAGGGGAGCAAACAGG
rnacentral:rRNA from 1 species